rnacentral:lncRNA from 1 species
CUCGCGGUGAGUGUAUUCCAAAUACAAUACGGUCCCUGACCAUCUCAUCCUUGUUUGCAUAAUCACAGUCUUUCACAAGCAGACGCAGCUCAGUUACAAACUGUUCAAAAGACUCGCUAGCUCCCUGUACUUUCUCAUGGAAUUUGUACCUAGCGAAAAUUGUAUUAGUCUUCGGCACAACAUAUGCUUCAAAACGAUCGUAGUAUGUUUUCAGUACCUUUGAUUCAGCCUCGGGGACCCGUGAACAUUAGCUCCACAUGCUGUUUGUACUUACGCCAUGCAUCGGGGUUCUCAUAGCUGGACUUCUCGCCCAAAAGCAAACGCUAACUUGGCCAUACCUUCAAAGUGUCCUCAGGGGUCUAUAGAUAAUGGGACAUGCUGGACCUACCACACACAGGACCACAACUUCUGCAAUACAGCAAGGUGCCUCUGGAAAGAAAACAGGCGAGACCCAGGCAUCAACGGGCCUCUGUUUAAAUAAGCAGGUGCCGCAGAUCUGAAUGUGGCCUCCUCAACAUCUGUUUGCCAGGACUCCAGCAACCAUUUACAUACACAAAUUAUGUGGAAAUACAAACAUUCACAUUUAAACUCAAACAAAGGCUAUUUUGGACAUUAAAAUGCAAUCUACUAUUCUGACAGGUGAGGGGUAAGAAUGGGGGUCAGUAAAAAGCUUUACAAAAAAGGUUGGAUUUUUUUAUCUAGUCAAGCAUUGAACAUUAUAAUUUGGAUGCUCAUGGUUUUGAGAGACAACAUCAAUACAACAGCAAAAUUAACAAUCCAACAUACCUACCCACCUAGUUCCUCAGUAAUGUAAUCAUCUGAAUUGUUAAGAUAUACCUUUGACCAGUGUUUUUUGUAUCAUGAUCAUGCAUACCACUUACCAUCUAUUUCCUCUGUUUAAUAAUGGGAAUGAGAGAACAUCUAUAUCGGUCACUCACAUGUCUGACUGGGGGAAAAAGUAUGAACUGUUGCUUUUGGCAUCAUCCUAGCCCAGCCAUAAACCACUGUUAGUGUUGUUUCUCCUUUCUCUUUUGGUGGCAACAGGGAAUUUAUGUGGCAAUGGAUCCUUCUUACGGGCCUGCCCAUCUGCCCAGAGCAGCCUCUAUUGGCAACGAUUCCGAAACGUUGCAGAUUGCUAAUGUGGC